GUGAGUGGUGUAGCGGUCUGAACGUUAGACUACGACUCUGGAGACCAGGGUUCGAUUCCCCACUCGGCCA